CUCUUCAAGGUUUGGAUCGGUAUGACUAAAGGGCUGUAUAUUAAUACGAAGGUAUUAUACGAAAAGGCUUAUAAGGUUUUGUCUUAUUUGAUCAUCCAUUACAUAUAUAAAUUACAUUGCAUGAAGUAUGUUGAAAUGAAUAUUUUAAUCAAAUGUUUAAUAAUGAACUAUCUGCACAUAACCGAAUGACCUUGUGCAAACAUGAAUAUAUGAUACAGGAAGGCCCGUAAGGUUUGAUCAUGUUGAUGAUUUUGCACCUUGUGUAUAUAUGUUAAGACAUACGAUGUAUAAUGAUUUGUGUCUAAACUUAUAUAGCUCAUGAGACAUUGUUAUCUUACGUAUGUUUGUUAAAUGAUAUGUAUUUCAGUUUCAAGUACUAAGGGGCUGUUUGGUAGGAUCUGAAUUUUUAAGAUCUGAAUUUUUAAGUGGUCUGAAUUUUUAAGAGGGUCUGAAUUUUUAAGAUCUGAAUUUUUAAAUGUUGUUUGUUUAGAACCUCUGAAUUGCAGUGCUGAAUUAUAAAAAUGACCAUUUUGCCCUUCUAUGUUAUUUUUUGCUAAAUUCAAUAUUUUUGCUUAUAAAAUAACCAAAUCAAACAUAACAUUAUCAUUUCGUGAUUAUACCCCAACCAACUAAUUGCAAUAAUACAAGAAAAUCAAUAUUUUAUAUCACAAAUGACAAACCUAUUUCUUAAUUGUGGCACCCAAAACAAUCAAAACCUCCAAUUCAAGAGCUUCAUAGAUCUUCACAAUUCUUCAACUAUAAAAAGGUACAAUAGAGACUUGAGAGCUGAUCCUUGACUGGUUUGACCUUCUAUGGCUUUAAAGGAACUAUUAGAGUUGUGGUUGGCAAUGGGAGGGUAGUAGUUGAACCAUAUAUUGUUUUAAUGGCAGAUAGUAUUGGAUCACUCUCUUCAACCUAUUGAGGCACAAUAUAGCCAAUUCCUGAUGACAAGUUAAUAGACAAUGUAUCAAAACAAUAAGGAGUCAUGAUUUUUGAUAAAUUGAAGAUGAAUGAAUGAAAUGAAAACAGAAUAUGGAAGCAAUUUCAAUAAUUUCAUAAUGAAGUGAAAACAGAAUAUGUCGUGUGUAUCCCUGUACAAACAUUGAAGAAAGCUUCAGCUUACAUCUAAUUCUAGUUUCUUUUCCUGCAAUUGUGCUGAGAAGACAACAAUAUCAAAUUUUCAAUUGAUACCCUGAUUUCAAAAAAAAAAAAAGGAAAAAAAGGAAAACAAUGGUCUGAUUUCAGGAAUGAUACUCUAAUUUCAGGGGAAAAACUACGAAACUCAAUUUUCAAGAAUUAAACUCGAAUUGCAGAGCAAGAGAAAAAGAAAAACUUUACCUAUACAAGAUGUCGGAGGCGAAGUCGACAACACCGGUGGUGUUGCAGAUCGAAUGCAGGCAAUGAAAUCGAUUUUCAGAAGAAGAGAAACAUACCUGUUGGGCAGAAUUCGAAAACGAGUUCGAGCCAGAGGACAUGCGUCGGCGUCGGCGUUGCAGGGUGCAGCAUCGUCGACGUUUUGGGUGGACGUGAACCUCGUCGGAAUCUUGGUGGUGAAGAGAAGCAGAUGCGAAUGGGAGCACACACGAAGGGAAGGAAAGGUGAUGAAGCGUUUGUCGGUCUUUCUUUAGGGCAAAUUAGGUGCGCGUCAUUUUUUUUUUUUUUCAGACCUUGUUCAAUAUCUGAAAAAAUAAGAGGAAAUUAUAACUUUAAGAGGUAAAAAAUAAGAUGCAAACAAACGAUCUGAAUCUGAAAUUUUAAGACAUUGCCUCUUAAUUUUGCAAUUAAGAGGUAAACAAACGGGCCCUAAGGACUAGAAGAUUUGGAUAGUAUCGAUAGAAGAUUUGGAUAGUAUCGAUAGCAGGGAACUUUUAAAUGAUAGUAAUUUGAUAGUUUUUAUAUGUAUGUAAAUUUACUGUUUUAUUAUGGUUUGUAAGUUAUCAUACACCUCCUAGAUGUUUUUUUAAUAACAUGUAAUUGUUUUGGUUUUUGUGGAACCACCAUGAGUAUGAAUUAAUUAAAAAAAUAUUUUCCAAACCAUAAUAUUUUAUUAUAUGAAAAUAUUUUAGUCAUUUUACAUGUAUUUAACCAUCAUUUUCUACCGAUAUUAGUCAUAAGGACNGUAACGAUAUUAGUCAUAAGGACCUAGUGCAACAUUUUAAACUCUCAAUGACUAUUGGUAUUAAAAAUUCCUUAAAAAGACUUGUAAUUGUAUUUUUGUCAGCCACAAAUAUGAUUUAUAUAAUUUUGUCUAUUUUUCUCAUUGGGUUUAUUUUACUUCACACAUUAUAAAUCAUGUAACAUAAUGUAACAUAAUAAAAUAAUUUAAUAUUUAACAUUUUAAAAUACAUGAUAUCAUCUCAAUCAACUAAUGAUGUAUCAAUUGGUCAUGGGGUUUUUUUUUUAAUACAAGAAGGGAGUUUUUUAUCUUCAAAUCAGCAUAUGACGAGUUCCCAAGCAUUUCUGGCAGGGUUGUUUGUCAUACAUAAUAAUUUAUUUGUCAUACACAACAAUUCAUGCAUUAUAUAAUUGUACAAUAUAACAUUUUAAAGCACCAACUGUUAUGUAUGAAAAAAAAAAUUAUUCUGUAUGAAUUAACUCCCUACAAAAAAUUAUAGUUUUGUAAUUAUAUGAAAACUGCCAAUAUUCUAUUUUUGUAAAUUAAUCAAGAGUUUACCUUAUUAAUCUACUAUGCAUUAUCAUUUCUUUUAAUUCUUCCAAAAAAAAUAUAUAAUAUUAGAUAUUAUGAAUAUAGAAAUGGACACCAGUGUUUUAAAAACCGGUUUGAACCGGCCGGUUGAACGGUCGAACCGGGAAUCGGAGGUGAGGGCGAUUCGAUUUGGACCGGUUUUAUAAUGAUUUUCUGACCGGAUUGAACCGGCCGGUUUUGAUAAAAAACCAGUUUAACCGGUAGAAUUGAACCGAAAUGAACCGGGUUGAACCGGACAUUCUUGGAUUUAUGUGUUUGUUUUGGGUUUCUUUGUUUGAUUUUGACUUCUAUAAUAAUUGUUUUUAUAUGUUGCCAAGGGCGGAACAUGGGCUCUAGAAUUGGAGGGGCCGUAACCAGAAAUUUAAAACAAAAUCAUGUAUAAGAAUUUUGUAUGCUACGAAGUUAUUGGUAUCGGUUUUCGGUAAUAAAAACAUUGAACAUCUAGGUAUUUGCAUCUAAAACAAUCGUCGGUUUCUCUUAGGAAGUUACUUGAUUUAUUAUAUUUUGAUAUACACUACUUAAUAUAAUUAACUAAAUUUAACGAAUAAAAAAUAAAUUAAAAUUUUAUAAUUGUAUUUUGAUAAAUAACUAAUUAUUUAUAUUUUCCUAAAAUUAUUUUAAAAAGGUUAUAACAAACUAUAUUUUAAUGAUAAUUAAUAAAUAAGAAAAUUAACUAACAUAAAGAAAUUAUAAUAUAUAUAUAUAACAAAAAGAGUUAAAUUUUUAACAGCAAAUAAAGUUAUUUAAAUAAGAUUUGGGUUAGAUUUUUAUAGCUAUAACUCUAUAUUAGAAUAUUUAAUAAUAAAGUACUCUUAUUGUUGCAGAAUUUUUGUUGUUUCAGUAAAACUUUUAAAAGUUAUCCUACUCCACACCAUCAUAUAUUCAUGUAGAUGCGUUCCGCACAUUCUAGUGAGAGAAAAAUAGACUUACAAGUUACAAGUUUGAAAUCCAGCAAGACGAGUAAAAAUCUCCAAGUCAGAGAGGGGAGUCAACAGAAACGGUGUGUCAAAGCCACAUCACAUGGAUGUUAACCGGUCAGGAUAGCAGUCGGUGAACUGAUAAAGUGAGAGUUGAGCACUCCGGCGACAACCAUAUUUUCCGGUUUCAUUUUUUUUCAGGCAACACUGAUGAUCCUUAGUUUACAGUUUCUCAAAGAUUGUGUUGAUAAAUUGUAUAGUAAAAUAGUUUUUCUUUUGAAGUUUUAUGAAGUUUUAUUUUUAGUUAGGAUUUAUUUUGAUUUUUUCCUUAAUAUUCUAGAUUUCUGUUUGAUUACUUAUCUAGUUUCCUAAAAAAAAAUAAAACCAAACAUACAUAUAUAGUAACGAUAUUAGCAGUAGAAAACCUGGCAUAGCCCCCUUUGGCCCCUAAGAGGAUCCGCCACUAUAUGUUGCAUUCUAUUUACGUUUGUAAUACUACCUCCAUCCCAAAUUAAUUGUCCACAUUUGACUUUUCCAAUCUUUAUUCUUCAACUUUGACCUUAAAUAAUUUUCUUUUUGAUCGAUAAUACUUAAUACAAAAUAUAUGAAUAGAUUGUAUUCUAAAUGUUUUUUCAUUGUUAUAAGUUUCAUCAAGUAAUAUAUAACACAAAUAAAAAUAUUUGAGGUCAAAGUUGAAUAAAAAAGACUUCAAAAGCCAAAAGUUGACAAUUAAUUUGGGACGGAAGGAGUAUUAAAAAGGUAACAAUUAAUCCACAAUCCAAUCACGAAAAAGUUUGGUUAAAUAUAGGGUUUUAAGAAUCUGGUUCAGAUCAGUAUCUGAUCUGAUUGGAUUUAACCGGAUCACAUUCUAGUUGUUGGAAACAAGAUUAGGACCAAAUAAUUGAAACUAGAUUAAACCGCCUCACUUUUUUGGAGAGAAACCGGUUACAAACGAAACUGGUUUUGGGGUCGGAGGAAACCGGUUUAUGUGUUCACCCUAAAAAUCCGACUCUGGUUUGAAACCGGUCCGGAUCAGUUAAAGCAUUAAAAAGGAACAAACAAAAAAGGAUGAUAACAUUCAUUAUAAGUAUUCUUGAAUCUUGAUAAUAUACAAGCAAGAAAAUGUCUGGAUACCUCGUGGUUGUCAGGAGCAAGAAACACAAAUACAUUGAUGCUAAAAACCAAACAUCUAUGAGAUCACUCCAACUGAGCAUACCAAACACCCUGGAUUUUCACAUCCUUAGGAACCUUGGCUCCAAGAUCAGUAUCCGAAGGCUGAAUACUCUCAAACACUCCGAUCACCUCUCCAGUAUCCGGCUUGCUUGAAGUGACACUCAAAGUAAUCUUUCCCGUUGAUGCUGCAACAUUCUUUACGUUCUCUUUAGAAAGCUCCUCUUCAUCUCCCCUCCCUCCUGCCGGCAAAGCAACCGCAUUAUCAUAUCCGGUGGAACCACCUCUACCCUUUGGGUCAAGAAAUGACGAUCCUCUGUAAGAUGGCACUAGAAAUUCUCCACUAAAGCUCUCUGGUUUCCCAGAUGCUACGAGCUGUUUGAUUGUGAAUAGGAAUGGCACACGUUCACCUCCGGGAAGCUGAACAGUCACAGCAGCGUAGUCGAUUCCGUCUUUCUCCUCGAACUUAAUGGAUCCAUCAGGAGACACUUCGAGGGGACCCUCGAUCUCGUCAAGGGUGUAGGUCAAACGGGUCAUGAGUUUGGUUUUUUGGAACUCGGGUGUAGAGUUCUUGCUUACACCUUCGGCUUUGACUGUGAAUGAUGUGGGUUCAAGGCAGAAUUUCUUGGCGUUGUAUUUGCCGGACUUGAAAGCAAACCCAGUAACUCCGCCGUCGAUGGUUGGGCAUUGGUUAGCUGUUCCGGUUCCUUUUACUUCCAUGUAUGUCUUGCUUUGGAUCUCAUCGAAAGUUAACCUUUUUGGACUUCCCUCAGCACUUGCUCCCUGAUACAAUAUCAAUAUACAUGUAUACACACUUACGCAAAUAAACAAAACAGUUAUAAUAUAUACUUGGAUCAAUAUGUCACUAACAGUCAAAGAACCGGAGGAGACAUACCGAAACAACAAGGGCAGAAGUGGCAAGAGCGAAUCCGGCGAUCUUGGCAGCAUCGGUGCAUUUCUGAGCGAAGUCCUUGAGAUCAGCCUGAAGAGAGCAAGACACCCUGGCUCCGGAGGACUCGACACCGAAGGCCUUGCAGAUGCUCGGAGAAGACUUUAGCUGCAGACGGCCGGAGACACCCACCUUGGUUGGUUGCAUGAAAGUUGCCGCUGCUUGCAGUGAAGCUGCCAUUGCUG
rnacentral:lncRNA from 1 species